GGACUACCAGGGUUUCUAAUCCUGUUCGCUCCCCACGCUUUCGCCCCUCAGCGUCAGUUACUGCCCAGAGACCCGCCUUCGCCACCGGUGUUCCUCCUGAUAUCUGCGCAUUCCACCGCUACACCAGGAAUUCCAGUCUCCCCUACAGUACUCUAGUCUGCCCGCAUCGCCCGCACGCCCACAGUUAAGCUGUGAGUUUUCACGGACAACGUGACAAACCACCUACGAGCUCUUUACGCCCAGUAAUUCCGGACAACGCUCGCACCCUACGUAUUACCGCGGCUGCUGGCAC
rnacentral:rRNA from 1 species